rnacentral:rRNA from 1 species
AGUGAUUCCUACGGGAGGCAGCAGUGGGGAAUAUUGGAUAAUGGGCGAAAGCCUGAUCCAGCAAUGCCGCGUGAGUGAUGAAGGCCUUAGGGUUGUAAAGCUCUUUUACCCGGGAUGAUAAUGACAGUACCGGGAGAAUAAGCUCCGGCUAACUCCGUG